rnacentral:tRNA from 1 species
GCCUAAAUGACUGACUUAAAGUAUUAGAUUUUUAAUCUAAAUAUGGCAUUUUAUUUC